GGCCUCUUGGUGCCUCCCAAGACUGUAUCCCUUGCAUAGACUGUAUAGGAAGUGGAGACACAGUGAAUCCGCCCAUGUUCACCUCAGCCCUGCCCUUUGCUGGGUCUGUACUGGGAAUGGGGGACAUGG